rnacentral:snoRNA from 1 species
CUUCUGACUGAUAAAGUGGUUUUGGAGAUUUAUGCUUAUUAAAAGUUUCCCUCGUGCUGUGCAUGGGUUCCUUUUGCAAAGGUGUCCUGUUCAUUGAUUGAUUUAGAGGCAUUUCUCUGAGAAGG